rnacentral:rRNA from 1 species
GACGAACGCUGGCGGCGUGCCUAAUACAUGCAGGUUGAGCGCUGAAGGUUGGUACUUGUACCAACUGGAUGAGCAGCGAACGGGUGAGUAACGCGUGGGGAAUCUGCCUUUGAGCGGGGGACAACAUUUGGAAACGAAUGCUAAUACCGCAUAAAAACUUUAAACACAAGUUUUAAGUUUGAAAGAUGCAAUUGCAUCACUCAAAGAUGAUCCCGCGUUUUAUUAGCUAGUUGGUGAGGUAAAGGCUCACCAAGGCGAUGAUACAUAGCCGACCUGAGAGGGUGAUCGGCCACAUUGGGACUGAGACACGGCCCAAACUCCUACGGGAGGCAGCAGUAGGGAAUCUUCGGGAAUGGACGAAAGUCUGACCGAGCAACGCCGCGUGAGUGAAGAAGGUUUUCGGAUCGUAAAACUCUGUUGGUAGAGAAGAAAGUUGGUGAGAGUGGAAAGCUCAUAAAGUGACGGUAACUACCCAGAAAGGGACGGCUAACUACGUG